rnacentral:lncRNA from 1 species
CUUGCCUCACCUUUAGUCUUCCUUUCCUUCAUUCACUCCAGCUUCAAGAGCCUCUAAUUAGCUGUGUGCCUUAAUUACUCCAGCUCGAUCUUCUUCUGCUUGCUGGUUCUCCCACUACUUAGACUCAACAGCGGCUGCACCUUCUCAAGAGCGACAGAAGCAAAACUCAACUAUCUUCCAGAGAUGUUUUUGAUGACUGAUGAAUUAGAUCUCUCAGCACUUUGAAGACUAGAGUUGUGCUGGAUCUCUGAGACAGAAGGAGCACUGUCCCCUCAGGCAUCAUGUGGAGGAGCUGACUGGUCAUGAACUUUUACUAUGGACUAUUUAGGGUGUCUGAGAAGCAAAACGACUCCUUCAAACCCAGAAUCCAGGGAACUUGGAAGAAGUAUUGAGUGAAGGCAGAGACCCCGAAGCCACACAUAGAAUGCUUUACAAUCUUGUAAUUGUCCUCAAGGGCAACAUGAGCAGAAAGGAGGCAGAACUUCGCAGUUAAGCUGAAUGAAAUUCCAUUGGUACAUGCUUCACAUUUCAUCAUCUAAUCACCCGUUGAUCCCAUCUGGGAUGCUUCCAUUUCCUCACCAUUGGAAAAGAAUGGCAACAAGCAUGGAG